rnacentral:rRNA from 1 species
GAUGAACGCUGGCGGCGUGCCUAAUACAUGCAAGUCGAGCGAACAGACGAGGAGCUUGCUCCUCUGACGUUAGCGGCGGACGGGUGAGUAACACGUGGAUAACCUACCUAUAAGACUGGGAUAACUUCGGGAAACCGGAGCUAAUACCGGAUAAUAUAUUGAACCGCAUGGUUCAAUAGUGAAAGACGGUUUUGCUGUCACUCAUAGAUGGAUCCGCGCCGCAUUAGCUAGUUGGUAAGGUAACGGCUUACCAAGGCGACGAUGCGUAGCCGACCUGAGAGGGUGAUCGGCCACACUGGAACUGAGACACGGUCCAGACUCCUACGGGAGGCAGCAGUAGGGAAUCUUCCGCAAUGGGCGAAAGCCUGACGGAGCAACGCCGCGUGAGUGAUGAAGGUCUUCGGAUCGUAAAACUCUGUUAUUAGGGAAGAACAAAUGUGUAAGUAACUAUGCACGUCUUGACGGUACCUAAUCAGAAAGCCACGGCUAACUACGUG